rnacentral:rRNA from 1 species
CUUAAAUUGAAGAGUUUGAUCAUGGCUCAGAUUGAACGCUGGCGGCAGGCCUAACACAUGCAAGUCGAGCGGUAGCACAGGGGAGCUUGCUUUCUGGGUGACGAGCGGCGGACGGGUGAGUAAUGUCUGGGAAACUGCCUGAUGGCGGGGGAUAACUACUGGAAACGGUAGCUAAUACCGCAUAAUGUCUUCGGACCAAAGAGGGGGAC